GACAGAGGGGGCAAGCGUUGCUCGGAAUUACUGGGCGUAAAGGGCGCGUAGGCGGAAUGGCAAGUCGGUCGUGAAAUCCCUCGGCUCAACCGAAGAACGUCGAUCGAAACUGCCGUUCUUGAGGAUUGCAGAGGAGACUGGAAUUCCCGGUGUAGCGGUGAAAUGUGUAGAGAUCGGGAGGAACACCAGUGGCGAAGGCGAGUCUCUGGACGACUCCUGACACUGAGGCACGAAAGCUGGGGGAGCAAACAGG
rnacentral:rRNA from 1 species